AUGGAACUCAGGGUUGAGGAGCCGCCUGUGCUUGACCCACUUAUCGCCCUCGUGGUUCAAGAGACCGUUGGCGAGCAGCUUCCACAUCGCCGGGAACUUGGGCUUCUCGAAGUGCCCGGACUUGUCGGACAGCACGCUCUUGGCAAGCUCCGGGUCGGCGAUGGUUACCUUGGGGAUCGGGCCGAACCACGAGAGGCUCACCUUGCCGUGCUCCCGGGCGGAAUCGCAGAGGAGUGGUGCCACGCGAGGGGCGAUGUCGUGGCACCGCAGCGGGAGCGGCCUCGACCAGGCGUCCUUGUUCCGCCGGCCUUGUUCCCUGAGGUCGCCGGUUAG
rnacentral:rRNA from 1 species